GCUGUCGAGAUGCCUAAAAAGCAUUUCAUAGCAAGGGCCGGGCAAGACCGGUGCCAGCCGCCGCGGUAACACCGGCGGCUCGAGUGGUAACCGUUAUUAUUGGGUCUAAAGGGUCUGUAGCCGGCCGGAUAAGUCUCUUGAGAAAUCUGGCAGCUUAACUGUCAGGCUUUCAGGAGAUACUGUCUGGCUCGAGGCCGGGAGAGGUGAGAGGUACUUCAGGGGUAGGGGUGAAAUCUUGUAAUCCUUGAAGGACCACCAGUGGCGAAGGCGUCUCACCAGAACGGACCUGACGGCAAGGGACGAAAGCUAGGGGCACGAACCGGAUUAGAUACCCGGGUAGUCCUAGCCGUAAACGAUACUCGCUAGGUGUCGGCCACGGUGCGACCGUUGUCGGUGCCGUAGGGAAGCCG
rnacentral:rRNA from 1 species